rnacentral:rRNA from 1 species
UACAUGGGGUGCAAACGUUGCUCGGAAUUAUUGGGCGUAAAGCGCACGUAGGUGGUCUGUUAUGUCAGAUGUGAAAGCCCUCGGCUUAACUGAGGAAGUGCACCUGAAACUGGCAGGCUUGAGUACGAAAGAGGGUCGCGGAAUUCCCGGUGUAGAGGUGAAAUUCGUAGAUAUCAGGAGGAAUACCGAUGGCGAAGGCAGGUCUCUGGGCUGACACUGACGCUCAUGCACGAAAGCGUGGGGAGCAAACAGG